AACCCAUGUCGAGGACAUUUUCACAGGAGUUCCUUGAUCCUUUCCCAUGUCUCAAAUAGAGACUCUAAUUCCAUUUGCAUGAAGGAAGAAAUCUUAUUCCUAAGUUU